UCCCAGACUCCUACGGGAGGCAGCAGUGAGGAAUAUUGGUCAAUGGCCGAGAGGCUGAACCAGCCAAGUCGCGUGAGGGAAGACUGCCCUAUGGGUUGUAAACCUCUUUUGUCAGGGAGCAAUUGGCGCUACGUGUAGCGUUAUCGAGAGUACCUGAAGAAAAAGCAUCGGCUAACUCCGUGCCAGCAGCCGCGGUAAUACGGAGGAUGCGAGCGUUAUCCGGAUUUAUUGGGUUUAAAGGGUGCGUAGGCGGAAUGCCAAGUCAGCGGUAAAAUCGCGGGGCUCAACCUCGCUCCGCCGUUGAAACUGGCGUUCUUGAGUGGGCGAGAAGUAUGCGGAAUGCGUGGUGUAGCGGUGAAAUGCAUAGAUAUCACGCAGAACUCCGAUUGCGAAGGCAGCAUACCGGCGCCCAACUGACGCUGAAGCACGAAAGCGUGGGUAUCGAACAGGAUUAGAUACCCGCGUAC
rnacentral:rRNA from 1 species